GAAUCACGUUUGCUGAUCUCUCUAACUUCUUCUUCACUCGCCUCUCUCUCUCUAUAUAUAUUUCCCACUCUUCUCCUUCUUCCCUAAGAUUUCUGUUGUGCUACAGCACACACCUGAAACCCUAAAACAGAUUUCACACUCCUUUGAUCCUAACAUAUCUUCUAAAAACGAAAUCAGCAGAUAGAAAUUAGUCACAUAUAAAGUGAUGAAAAGAAAGGAGAAAGCAGCCAUUGGGAGUUCUGGCACUUUCCAUGAUCCUCUCAAGCACGUGACGAAGAAGAGAGUAUCAUGUAAAGAUCCAGAACUCCCAAACUCAUCAGCAGGUCAAAUAAACCACCAAAGUGUGCUAAACAAACAAUUCCAGCAGACGAAAAUAUCUCUCGUUCUUGAAGGAAAGACGAAACCAGCCACGAAAGAUCCUCUCAUGCACGUGCCGAAGAAGAGAGUAUCAUGGAAAGAUCAAGAACACCCAAACUCAUCAGCAGGUCAAAUAAACCACCAAAGUGUGCUCAACAAACAAUUCCAGCAGACGAAAAUAACUCUCGUUCCUGAAGGAAAGAAGAAACCAGCCACUGGUCAAACCUCAAAACUCCAUUGUUGUGGUGUAUGUUUUGAUUUCAAACCAGACUCUCAUAUGUUCAGAAGAUGUCAAUGCAACCACCCCUUUUGCACUGAUUGCAUAUCCAAGUAUGUUGCCAAUCAAAUACAGCAAAAUAUUCUCAAGGUGAAUUGUCCAAAUCCAAAAUGUUCUGUGGAAUUGAAGCCAAAACAUUUGCAAAUCAUUUUGCCUAAACAAGUUAUUGAUCGUUGGGAAUCUGCUAGAUGCGAGUCUUCAAUUGCUGUGUCGGAAAAGACUUAUUGCCCCUUUAAGAAUUGCUCUGUUUUGUUGGUGAAUGAUGGAGGAAAAGUUGUUACCAGUUCUGAGUGCCCCUCCUGUCAUAGACUAUUUUGUGCGCAGUGUAAGGUUCCAUGGCAUGCAGAAAUGAAUUGCAACGAAUUCCGAAAGUUGAAAAGGAGUAAAAUUGAAAAGGACUUGGAUACGAAGUUUUUGGAGUUAGCCAAAGGGAAAAUGUGGCAGAAAUGUCCCAAAUGCUAUAUGUAUGUUCAAAGACGUAGUGGAUGUGAACACAUGCUAUGCAGGUGUGGAUGCCAAUUCUGCUACCACUGUGGGGAGAAUUGGAAUCAGUUUGGGCAUCUAUGCAAUAGUCGUCGUUCAACAUGAUCUUUCACAGGCUCUUAGAGGUUCAAUUAAGGGGUCAUUUUCGUGCCUCAUUAUAGUGAGAAUCGUAGAACUCAUGCCAGAGGAUUUCUCACUCCACAAUACAUCUCACCAUCAUACAUUUGUUGAUGGCAGAAUUGUUGGAAGCUCAAAUGACAAAUGCAGGAAGUUCUAGUAGUAUUACUCAUCAGAAUGAAAGUAAAUCUGAUAGCUAAUAUUCUAGCUAAAAGAACAGCCAGCAAUGUAGUGUUUAGGAAUCCUCUUAAAGUUCUAGAUGAUUUGUAUUUGUAUUUUAUUUUGGAAGUUAGUUGUAGAUACGUGUUUUAAGUACGUUCAUCACAAAAUAUUUCUAGAUCCCAAUAGACCCAAUGCCAGAUAGCUGCCAAAAAGCACAAAUCUGAAAAGACAAUAUGUGCUCCGGCCACACCUUCAUACAAGGGCAUGUUUGGUAAAUAAUAUAGGAUAAGGAAUGAUAGUAUAAGAC